rnacentral:rRNA from 1 species
UACGUAGGGUCCGAGCGUUGUCCGGAAUUACUGGGCGUAAAGAGCUCGUAGGUGGUUUGUCACGUUGUUCGUGAAAACUCACAGCUUAACUGUGGGCGUGCGGGCGAUACGGGCAGACUAGAGUACUGCAGGGGGAGACUGGAAUUCCUGGUGUAGCGGUGGAAUGCGCAGAUAUCAGGAGGAACACCGGUGGCGAAGGCGGGUCUCUGGGCAGUAACUGACGCUGAGGAGCGAAAGCGUGGGGAGCGAACAGG